UGGUCUACAAGAGUUAGUUCCAAGACAGGCUCCAAAGCUACAGAGAAACUAGGCCUCAAAAAACCAAAAUAAAUAAAUGAAAUGAAAUGAAAUGAAAUGCAGCCGACGCCGACAUAGUCAGACGUGGUUUCCCAGCACAGCGGGGCCUGAAGCAGGCCGGCAGGGACGCUGAGAUAAAUGAGGACACCCAAAUAACUGAUAAACCGCCGCAACUCGGCUUCCUCCGUUGUCACUGUUCUCUUCUUCAGCUGCACUCACCCACCCCGCCGAGUUUUUCUUCUCUGUCACCUGUAUGGCUUCAUCGGUAACUACGUCUAUCUUAACCUAUCUUAUACUUCAAAUGUGCAUCUGUCAGAUUUACUGCUACUUCGGAUCGCCCUCGGGUCCCUAUGUCCAGAUGGUGCUCUCAGAGGGUUUCAGUUUUGUGCCCCCCAAGGAGGGAAGCCUGUGACUUUCAGUGAGUCAUUCCUCCUAAUGGCAUCUUCAGCACUGCUGCUGGGACCUGCCCUGGCUCCCCGUGGCCCUGCGGGUCUUCCUCCACCGCCUUCCUCCUUUCCCCAAACCACCAGGACUGGUCCUGCCUGACUCUGCUUCCCCUAUGACUGUGAUAUCGGGAACAGGGACCUGAGGGCAUUAGGGUGUUGUUUGGCAUUCGGAAAGCGAGGAACUGGGGCAUCCUCCCUACACGGUAGAGCAGGACCCAUCUCCACACCCACUGUGGGGCUGGGGACUGGGGCACAGCCCCACUGUCCCCUGAAGCAGCGUGAGGAACAACACUUCCAGAGAAUUUGACUGUGGUGAAAGCCGGAUGCUGUGUGGAUGGAAAAGCACCUCGGGGAGCUGCCUCAGACGGAGGACUAUGUAGCCCAGUCUGGACUAGAACUCAGUCUGUAGCCAUGGAGCCGAUCCGGGUGCACUACAUCCUGAGAGCUGGGAUGGCAGGUGAGUCCCUGUGAAAGGAACCGGACUGUGCAGUCCACCCGAGGUAUCUGUCGCUGGGAGGCUUUACAAAACGGAAAGUGGGGAAAGACGCUGAACCCAACAGCCUGAACUAGCCCCGCUUCUCGGGACAUGCUGGGAAGGACCCAAAGGAAAAGAGACACGACAGGAUUACCACAACGUGUAACACUGAAGUCAGCUUUCUCCGGUGCUUUAGAGCUGAUGGGAUGGGGGAUGGACCCCUGACAAGGACAGCCCCCUCCUGGUCCAGGCCCUGCUCGCAGUGCUUCUGUUGCCAUGGAGACAUCCACAUUGAAUGGUAUUCACCGUAGAAAAUAGCCGAAGGUGGUAGCACACAUGUCAGCCUGGGGAGGCUGAGGCAGGAGAAUUAUCACAAGUCUGAGACCAGCCUGAGCUACACAGUAAGACAAGUCUCAAAAAAGCAAGUGCUGGGGCUCAGUUAAAAGAGUGCUUGCACAGACAAGGACUGAGCCCAUAAGCUGGAUAGAUGGUGGCACCAUGUGUCACCCUAAGACACAGGAGUGGGAGGAAGGAGGAUCAGGAGUUCAAAGUUGGCCUUGAAUUUGAGGCCAGAGUGGGCCACAGGAGACGUGAGCCAAAAAGAAAGAAAGAACGAAAGCCAGGCGGUGGUGGUGCACGCCUUUAAUCCCAGCACUCAGGAGGCAGAGGCAGGAGGAUCUCUGUGAGUUCGAGGCCGGCCAAGGCUAUAGAGGAAGAAAAAAGAUGAGGAGAACAAAAGAAAGAGCAUCGAACAAUCAAACAGUGCUGUUUCUGCCUCCUUAAGCGAAGGCAGGCUGGCCUCCUGUGAGUGACAGCAGCGCUUGGUGCCCCCAGAGAAACGCAAACGUUUGUCCUGAUAAAGUCAUUGCCUGUGUUUGUUAUUAAGCUUCAUAAUUUUAUCUAAAUGGCAAAGUUCACAUGUGACAUCGCUUUGAUACAGUGAGAAAUUUACAGUUUGUUUGGAGACAGAAACUCAAGCAGCAGGGUGACCUUCUUGGGUCGAUGUUGAGGCAGGAUCUCUCUGUGCAGAGCAGGCUGGCCUCAAGCUAAGAGCACUGAAGAAGGAAGGUGGGCACACCGCACCCCGAUUAUGUUGGGGAGGGACCCAGUGCUUCGUGCAUGCUAGGAAAGCACUCUACCUAGCAAGCUGCAAGCCCUACAUGCACUGAGCCCCCGCACUCUGCCUGCUGGGCUGCUGUCCCGGCCACCACCACUUUCUCUGAAGUCCCCAAACCCUGAUGUUUCAUCUGCCCAUGUGGAAGGUGACAGGAGUGGGGUUCGUACCCGGCUCAAAAUCGCUCUUCCGUUUUCAGUUAAGCUCAGGCUGAUCAGGCAGCCAGCAGGCUCACGUUCCUCCCACACCCAUGGAGCAUGUUGAUGCCGCUAAACAUAGAGAUCCCUUGACAGAGUGUGACCUUAAACACCAAUAUACAGUGGGAAACAUUGACAGGGCUCCCGCAGAUCACAGCAAGGCUGCUGAGAAGCUGCCCUCACAGCCGCAUCCUGGGAACAGACCUAGUUCACACCACUGCUACUGCAGGAAGAGGAGGUGGGGGGGGGGGUGCUAAUGUCCCUGUUUGAAGCCAUCUCCUCUGAUACAGCUCCCUGGGAAACACCUUGGAGAACCUUUCUACACUCCUCCUGAAAGAUACAUUUCUCACAUACUUGGGAAAUUCGUCCUCAGAAUCAGGCCUUAAUCUUCCACACAUGAAAUGUUUCUGAGGUCAUGGCACCCUGGCCAGCAAGCCCAGUCAUCCACAGCCAGAGCAAACUGGGUUAUCUUCACAGAGUCAGUAGGGGCCCAGAGGCCCUGGCUACACUGUGGAGGGGUGGGGGUGCCUGUAGGGCCCGCCUAGGAUCCCCUGAGGGGCUAGGGCCAGUUCUAGUUUCUUCCCAGUAGGAGACAUAGAAGGAAAAAGGAGAAAAUGGAGUCAGUUCAGAUAAAAUGAAUUCAAACAUCCAAGCGAGUCUUUGGUAAAAGCAGAGCAACACUCUCUGGGUAGCUUCGUCCAGGCCCCCCUCACGGGGGCUGCGGUGGACCCCGCCAUGUUGAGGGGUGUAAGAAGCGGCUUCCCCUUUUCUUUCUUAUUAUUUUGUUGUUGUUGCUGUUGUAAUUCAGAUAAAACCUAACAGGAUUAAUCGUU